AAAAUUCCCUACCGUAGCAGAAAUAUUAAAUAAAAUUAAUUUAAUGUUGAAGAGGCAAGAAACUCUCCUCUCAUCCUCUUCUCGCCGUCAAACUCCACCACCGCCACCGCCCGAUAAAUACCACCGUCCUAAAUCCAUUGGUUGCAUGUCGGCCGUUUUUCACUAUCUCUCCAGAUAUCAACACCGCCGCAAAUUCCUUACUUUCGGUAAAUCUCUCUCUCUCAUCACUUUUUUUUAGAUAUUAUAGAUAAAUAAUUUGAAUAGAUUUAACUGCGAAUGUCUCAUUAUGGACAAUAUUAAUUAUCACUACCACUCUAUCUCAGUACUAGAUCAUAACUUGGAUAAGUAUAUAUCUCUAGCUACAAUCAACAAUAUUAUAGACAACGCGGAAUAAUUGUGCAGACAGUUAGAGAUAUCCAUCCGAUCCAUCCAACAUUGUCAUCAUCCCUAUACUUAGUUUGACUAAUAUGAUGAAUUGAUGAUAAUUAAUGUUAUAUAUAUAUAUAUGUACAUACUGAAAAGUACUAUUGCCACUUAAUUUCAGGUAAAAAGCAUGAAAAAGUUGCACAACCAAAAUCAUCAUCGGUGUCUAACCGUGAAGGUCAUCG
rnacentral:lncRNA from 1 species